CUAUAAAGACUGCUCAGAAUUCCAAAAUAAGGUACUUCUGAAGCCGGAUGCCAGUUUCUUCAGCAACGUGCCUGAGAUGGAAAGCCCCAAGUCCUUUCUUUGCUUGUUUUGCCUGAUCCAGACGGCCUCCUUCAUCUGUCUGGAUCCUUCAUUCUCUUUCUUUCCUCAGGGAUAUUUUAGAAUCAGCUUCCACAAAGAUGAACGUUUCUUUACCCUGAGACUUGUACUAGCCAUCAGGGACCGUGUACAAAUUACCUUUGGCAAAGGUGUUCUCAUUCAUUACUGUGGUUCAAGUUUCUAAUCAACCGAGACAAGAAUUCUGUCACAUUUAGAGAAGGCUGAAGGCUUUCUCUGCUAACUUCCCAGAUGUUUCCAGGACCAGCAAAAAAAAAAUAAAAAAGGAAAACAAAGUACAAAAUCUAAAUUGUUUUAACCUGAAGGCCAAAAUACAGAUAAUUUAGCCUCUUUUGGCUCGUUACUGGAAGAUAUUUCCAAGCAUACUCUUAAUUAAGAAUGACAUAAAAUAUUUUCAAUUUGCUUCAUUUUCGUGGUCAGAAUUAUUGUGUAAGUUUUGGGGUCUAAGAAUUAGAACUGAAGUCACACUCAGAGUUUGUCAAGUGCUUGUUAAAUUAAAAAGAAAAUAAUAAAAUAAUAUUCUGUACA
rnacentral:lncRNA from 1 species